rnacentral:tRNA from 1 species
UUCAUUUUGGCAGAAUUUUAAUGCAAAAGACUUAGAAUCUUUAUAAGCUUCA